CCCAAUNNAGNGGNCACAUAAGGANCUUGCUCCNNNGACGUUAGCGGCGGACGGGUGAGUAACACGUGGGCAACCUGCCCCUUAGACUGGGAUAACUCCGGGAAACCGGAGCUAAUACCGGAUAAUCCCUUUCUCCACCUGGAGAGAGGGUGAAAGAUGGCUUCGGCUAUCACUAAGGGAUGGGCCCGCGGCGCAUUAGCUAGUUGGUAAGGUAACGGCUUACCAAGGCAACGAUGCGUAGCCGACCUGAGAGGGUGAUCGGCCACACUGGGACUGAGACACGGCCCAGACUCCUACGGGAGGCAGCAGUAGGGAAUCUUCCGCAAUGGACGAAAGUCUGACGGAGCAACGCCGCGUGAGUGAGGAAGGCCUUCGGGUCGUAAAGCUCUGUUGUGAGGGAAGAAGCGGUACCGUUCGAAUAGGGCGGUACCUUGACGGUACCUCACCAGAAAGCCACGGCUAACUACGUGCCAGCAGCCGCGGUAAUACGUAGGUGGCAAGCGUUGUCCGGAAUUAUUGGGCGUAAAGCGCGCGCAGGCGGCUUCUUAAGUCUGAUGUGAAAUCUCGGGGCUCAACCCCGAGCGGCCAUUGGAAACUGGGGAGCUUGAGUGCAGAAGAGGAGAGUGGAAUUCCACGUGUAGCGGUGAAAUGCGUAGAGAUGUGGAGGAACACCAGUGGCGAAGGCGACUCUCUGGUCUGUAACUGACGCUGAGGCGCGAAAGCGUGGGGAGCAAACAGGAUUAGAUACCCUGGUAGUCCACGCCGUAAACGAUGAGUGCUAGGUGUUAGGGGUUUCGAUGCCCGUAGUGCCGAAGUUAACACAUUAAGCACUCCGCCUGGGGGAGUACNGCCGCNAGGCUGAAACUCANAGGAAUUGACGGGGACCCGCACAANCANUGGANCAUGUGGNUUUAAUUCNAANCNACNCNAANAACCUUACCAGGUCUUGACAUCCUUUGACCACCCNANAA
rnacentral:rRNA from 1 species